GUGCAUCGGGCAAUCUGUCGAUGAUUUUUGAUUUUGAUGCUAGCAACGUGCCAUCAAAGUCAAAAAUCAUCGACAGAUUGUCGAUGUUC